CGCGCGGUUGACGGACGGGCGCCGAGAGGGCGGGCGGGUGCGAAGCCGAGGGGCGCCGAGCGGGCGGCGACGGCGGGCGGCCUCCGCCCCGGCCGGCCCCGCGCCCUUUGUGAACCCGCCUCCGGGCCCCGCGGCGUGCGGAAGGCGCCCUGUUCCCUCCCCGCCCCCGCCACACGACCCGAGAGAACCUUCCAGAGCCUCCCAGAACCUUCACGUUCCUGAGGCGCCACGUGCUGCCGCGGUGCCCCUGACGGAGCCGCCCAGCGCAGCCCGGGAAGCAGGAUGACUACAGGCUCACAGAAGUUUGCAGGAGUCUAGACAGGGGCCUUGCACGUGUCCUCACGUUCCUGCCGUGGUUCUGCUUUGUGCAUCUGUGACACAGUAUCCCAGCCGGGACCCUGACCUGAUGCCGUGGCGGGCAGAGCUCUGAGCCGUCGUGUGGCACGCGUGGAUUGUGUACUCGCCCCCCCUAGCCAAGAGGUGGGGCAUCCCCACAGCACAGAGCGCUCCCUCCAGCCGCCCCUGGUAGACCCACCCUGCUCGACCCGGGGCGCCCCCGAGCUGUUCUCCAUCACCCCCUUCCCCGGUGCGGCCUUACAGCACACAGCCUCUGGAGACCGGCUCUCGCCACUCGGCGGGGUGCCCCAGAGAGACCUUCAAAUUCUCACGUGUAUGGGGCGUUCUUCCUUUUUGUGCGAGUGCUGUUCUGUGCCGCGCGUGGGCCCGAUCAUCUCCCUAUUUUAAGGUCCCUGACGUCAGUCCCGUGCAGGCACAGUGUCCCGGGUGAGAGUGCGGGCAUCUCUGGGACCCAUCUGGCCCACGCAGGAGACGAGGGAGGGGUGGAGGGGUGGUCUAGGCGCUGGCCUACCAUGUCUGCCCUGCAUUCCCAGGUGCAGGCGCACCUGCACAGCCGCCGCCGGCUGCGGACCGGAAACUCUCUCACCCCAGCCGCUUGCCCGGUCGCCAGGGAGCUUCUGCUGCUCCGAGGACAGCUAGCACACCCCUCAUCAGAGCCUGUCCGGACCCCCCCAGCGGCGGCCGAGAGGACUCACCAGCCCCUUCCUGUACAUGUGUUGUAGGUUACCCGGCGCCCCACAGCUGGGGCCCUGGACCAAAGAGGUGCUCCUUGGGCAUGUCGCCUCUGCUAGUCCAGCCAGUGUGUAUUGGGGGAGACCGUAUCGGGUAUCUCCCCUGUAAGCCUGCUGCCUCUUACCUGUAGUCCCAGUGAGAGAGAAGGGUGCUGUGUCUGUCCCCCACCAGCCUAGGGGGGAAGCCUGGCCUUCCCUCCGGCGUCUGUGGGGCCUGGAGCCUUGGGGCAGAGUCCAGGAGAGACCAGACUAAGUGACUGAGUGAGGGGUCAGGUGGCCAGAUGCCUCCGUGUGGUGCUGCCCAGUGGACAGUGCCAGAAACCCCGUGUAGACCAGAGCAGAGUCUGUGGUACUCAGAUCCCCAUAGCACGUAACACAGGAGGCUGCUGCCGUGACUCCGGGGGGCUGAGAAGGAGCCCCAAAGAGAAAGGCACCCACACACCCUCCAUCUGUCCUGCCGAGGCUUCAGGUGCUGGCAGCCACGCCACCGGCUCUUCUCCUUCCUGCCUCCUACGGGCUAGUCCUGGCCCAGGCACUGGCCUGCUCUGUGUCUGACGGUGUGGCCCGCAGAACACUAGGACAGUCCCCAGUGCCUCACGACCUUGUGGAAGCCCCCGUCUUGAGCGUGAGUAGAGUUUGCAACGGGAUGAGUGUCACGUCUCUGAUUACGUGACACUCUGAUUACGUGACACAUGGCAAAGGUGACAGGAUUUUCUGGAUGGAAUUAAG